rnacentral:lncRNA from 1 species
CACCACUCGUUCUAUCUUUGGGAAGUCAAAAUUGAUUUUCUUCCACUUGUCACACUAAAAUCUCAACUCUGUCCUUUCUGUUUCACUCUCAAAGAGUUCAGCGGUAUCGGGAUCAAAGGAUUAGGAAGCCGCAGCUUUAAGGGAGGCAAGCAGCAUGAGAAGACUUUGUGGAGGCAGCUCUGAGCAUUUUAUGUAAGCAAUCUAUUUCAGCUUCAAAGGAAGCACUGGCUAAGUGGGUGAACAACAUGUAAAGUGCUCACUUGACAUAAAUUUUUUUUUUUUUAAGUAGCUGAGAUAAAGACAGCCUCCAAUCACUGACCUUUUAUUAUUAGUCAGAGCCCUGAGUACAAGAGAGACUUCAGCAGAGGUGGCCAACGGGCGCCUGCAGAGACUCCAGGCGCGUUCUUGCCUGUUGGUGCAAUAUUUGCAGCUGCGGCACUCUCCUUCAAGUUGUUUGUUCCACUCUCUGCCUGAUGCUAUGGGUAUCUGAUUUCUAUCUCUGGAAACAGCGUGGGAGCCAUGUGGCGGUCAAGGCUGGACUUUAACUGCAAAGGAGCACAUCACAGCAAGCUCCCAGGGAGCCGGGCACAGCUCAGUAUCAGUCUUGGUUUCACUUGAAAAAUGUACAGACCUUUUAUAAAUUAUAGGAAAGAGAUAAUGGAAUCCCUAUGCAUUUACUCUUCUCUUCAUAAACCAUGGCGAGAAUUUUUUUAAAAUUCCAUGUAUUCAGACUAGUUAAAAAAUAUGGAUAGGCUUUUGCUAAUUGUACAUUUUACUUGGUUUAAUAGAUAUAUAUAUUAGAGUAGAGCUACCAUUUGCUGUAUGUCACACGUGCCAGGCUCUGGGCUACGUACUUUCCAUGUAAAAACUCACUAUUCCUAGUGAAAAACCUUUCGGUUAAGUGUUCUACCUCCUAUUUACAGAAGAAUAAAUUGAGGCCCUGCAAGGAUUAAGGAAUCUGUACAAAGUCACACGAUUUCUUCUUUCGGUGGAUCGUGUAAAUUAGUGAGUUGCUUUCACGUCUUUUGGCCAGCUUCAGAGAAGAAUGAAGUACCCAAUGCUUGGUGAGAGGCAGUCCAUGUUCCGGAUGUAAAGCACUUCUCACUAUAUUAAUUGUCCGCUGGCUUAAUUUUUUCAUAUUCUGUCGAAUGCACUUUGCCUGCGUGUACGAAGGCAGCUUCCUCAUCAGAUGUGAGUUGGGAGCAUCCACAUGUACUCCACUGAUGCUCCCCAAACUUCCAAGAUAAAAAUUUCCACAAGGGGAAGAUAGCAGUCAAAUGUGAGAAGAAUAAUUUGCAAAUAGAUAAAUACGCAAAUAAAUAAAACUGUUCAUGGAGUUGUCUACUGGAAAACGAUGUGCCAAGGGCACAAUGAGCGAAAGUGAAGCUUGACAAUGAGUUAGGUCGCCAGAUGUGGCGCGGUGAUUUGGGGGGGCCCAGGGGAGCACCCAUGAGGAGAAAGGCUGGGUGUAAAUCAGUCAUAGCAACGCUCCACUGCACCUGGGGGGCCCUGAGGAAAUACGUUAGUGGUGAAUCAAGAGCCAGGCUCCAAGGCCCUGAGGCCAGUGUGCUGGGAGAGGGGCGUGUCAGAGGCACAUGGGAGAGGUGGGCCUGAAGACAGAGAGAAGCUCUAAGUCAAGCAAAGACCCAGGUUUCUAGAAGUGGUCAUGCAAAUAGCUGAGGUUCGCAGAUUCUAUUAUUUAAUAAUUAAAUGUAAAGAAGCAUUUAGCUUACGUCAACUAUUUUAGUUAGGAGAGCAAUAGUCACAAAGCAGCAGUUGUGAAAUUUAUAUGGAUUGGAAAAGGGUGUGAUAGACACGGGGUGGAAGAGUUUCCAUUUGUUUUGUUUUAAGCCACGGUCAAUGUGGGCUUUCAAAGUCAGAUGCCGAAGGAGGAAUUAAAUUAUCCAGUGAGUAUUAGAGAGUUAUUCUCAAACCGUAUUUUACUGUAAGAUGGGGUUAUUUUAAAUUCAGAAAAGCUAAUGAGCAUAAAGAAGACUGCAAAUCUUCUGGGACCAUGUGUCAGCUGAUCCACAGCUGCUGCAACCGAAAAGUCACAAAGCUUGCUGGGAAAUGGAGAACAAUGCAGACUCAGUUGUCAUGAAUAUCUUAUGUGAAGUUACUUUUUAGAGAAAUCUCCAAAUGCAAUCUCUAUAGGCAAACAUAUACAUUUGUAUAUAGAAAGAGUAAAGCUGUAAUCUUCAUUGAACACAGAGAUUUGUUUCUUUUGGGUUUUUUUAAAUUUGCAUUUCAUUGUUUUUCAUGAAAAUGAAUUUAAUGCUUGAAUUCUGUACAAGCAUCACAGGAAAAGGCUAUCAGGAAUCUGCAAGAGCCAUACAAGGUGUCCCUUAGAUAAAUAAUGGUCAGGAAAGGAAAUGUGUGAAUGAAAAGACCACGAUGUGCUGACUACGUUGAGGCACUGAGCAGAACAGACAGUGGGAGGCAACGACUGAGACAACCUGAGUUGAAAAAUAGUGUCUGGAAGACGCAGGGGUGUAUACAGUGUCUAAUAAAAUUCUGCAAAGAAGCUCAAAAGUGAUCACGUAUUUAUUGCAAGGGUAUUUUCAAAAUAAACUCAUUUUGAAUUAUUCACUCUUCCCCUCUCCCCACCAAAAAAACAACCUAUUAUGAAUUAGUUUGGAGUAAACGUUUUCACAGGUUUUCAACUGGUUGUACCACACACUCUUAAAAUAAAGGUAUUACACAUUCCAAAAACAUUUCAACUCUUACAUGAGCCUAAAGAUAACACCGCUUCAGUCAGCAUUAUAAGCAACACCA